AGUGAACGCUGGCGGUAGGCCUAACACAUGCAAGUCGAACGGCAGCACAGUAAGCGCUUGCUCUUACGGGUGGCGAGUGGCGGACGGGUGAGGAAUACAUCGGAAUCUACUUUUUCGUGGGGGAUAACGUAGGGAAACUUACGCUAAUACCGCAUACGACCUACGGGUGAAAGCAGGGGAUCUUCGGACCUUGCGCGAUUGAAUGAGCCGAUGUCGGAUUAGCUAGUUGGCGGGGUAAAGGCCCACCAAGGCGACGAUCCGUAGCUGGUCUGAGAGGAUGAUCAGCCACACUGGAACUGAGACACGGUCCAGACUCCUACGGGAGGCAGCAGUGGGGAAUAUUGGACAAUGGGCGCAAGCCUGAUCCAGCCAUACCGCGUGAGUGAAGAAGGCCUUCGGGUUGUAAAGCCCUGUUGUUGGGAAAGAAAAGCAGCAGGUUAAUACCCCGCUGUUCUGACGGUACCCAAAGAAUAAGCACCGGCUAACUUCGUG
rnacentral:rRNA from 1 species